UGAGAGUGAGAGUGAGAGUGAGAGUGAGAGUGAGAGUGAGAGUGAGAGUGUGAGUGUGUGUGUGUGUGUGUGUGUGUGUGAGAGUGUGAGUGUGUGAGUGUGUGAGUGUGUGAGAGUAAGAGUGAGAGUGAGAGUGAGUGUGUGAGUUAAAAUAGGGCAGUCAGGUCAGUGAGGAUCAGGGGGUUCCAGAAUCUGCUAAAAGAGCUCAUCCCCUCCGCAGACGCACAGACACACACACACACACACACACACACACACACACACACACACACACACAGACACACACACACACACACAGACACCAGAGCUGCCAACUCACACGGAUUCGCCGUGUGACACACGCUUUUGCAUGUUUUCACACGCACACAUCCAAUUUCUCACGCCCAAAAAAAUCUGAUUUUGGGCCGAGACGCGUUCGUUCCUUUUCAAACUCCCCGAGGGUAGCUGGCGCUAAGGAGCGCAUCUGUAACCCUAUUCACUGCACAGACAUCUUAUUUACCCCAAGAAGUCCCGAAGUUAGCGACAGAAGAAGAGUUACAAAGAGAGACAAACGCGGUAGAAACUCGGGAAGAGAAUACAUCGAAUACAUCUCCAAACUGAGCAGAGACUAGAUUGUGAAAUUCGUACGCAAGCUAUGUUCCAAAUGUAUGGUUCCAGCAGCUCUGCAAGGCCAUGAGGAGCGUUGUGAAAUUGCCUAUAAAGAGAAGGCAAACCUUUUGCCAGGUUAGUGUUU
ensembl:lncRNA